rnacentral:rRNA from 1 species
UACGUAGGGGGCAAGCGUUGUCCGGAUUUAUUGGGCGUAAAGGGCGCGUAGGCGGUUUCUUAAGUUUGGAGUGACAGUGGGUGGCUUAACUACCCAAGGCCUCUGAAAACUGGGAACUUGAGGACCAGAGAGGGACAUAGAAUCCGGGUGGAGUGGUGAAAUGCGUAGAUAUCCGGAGGAAUACCAAAGGCGAAGGCAGUGUCCUGGAGGUGACUGACGCUGAGGCGCGAAAGCUAG